CUCCAUAUGCCGCGGGAGCGGCCCAAGAUAUAGCAAAAAGACAAAACAAAAAACAAAAAACAAAAAAAAACAAAAAACUAUGUCUAGAUACUCAUGUUGCAAUAGAACAAAGGGUGGGGAAAAAUGUAAAUGUAAUGUAUACAUGUAAAGAUAACUUGAUCCCCUUGCUGUACAGUGGGAAAAAAAAAAAAGUGUGGAAAAAAAAAAAGAAAAUGAAGGGGGAGGGGAAAGCAACAGCAGAGGGGAUCCCAGAUGAUAAGAAAAAUGGGAGAUUAAAAAGAUUCGCAUUACUAGCUGGAUGUAGGCUCAGAACUCCCUGAAGGUUUAGCGUGAGGGGGACAAUCAUAGAAGAACCCCCCGCUUCAGAAAUACUUUACCCCAAGACUACACCAUUUUUCAUCUGUUUAAUUUCUGCUCUUGCAGGGAGUGGCAGUUCUCACGAAUGAACGUUCCCUGGUGCUCGCCUCCCUUCUUCUGCCAGGGUCUCCAGCCACAAGGGUUGGGGGACGUGGGCCUCGGCACCCAAUUUGCAGCGAGGCCGGGAAAUUGGUCCCGUUAGAGCAGAUUUCACCCAUCAGGAAUGCGCUGGGCCCCCGCCGCCUUCCUGCCACGGCCGCCCUCUACACAGACUGCUCCAGGGGCCGGGGAAAUGCAGGACAGGAGCGCCACCUCCGCCGGUCAAAACACCGCCAGGUCAGCCGCUGUUGCCCCAGACUGCCCAGGCCAGGAGGACAAGGCUCGGGGCAGAUCCCAAGCCUCACCUCCGCCCGCACCGCUGAGAGGACGCCAGCGCCGGGUCGGGUGGUGGAUGCGGAACCCGCCCAGGGCCUGACCCCCAUGGCCGCCCCAGCCCCGCCUGGAGCAAGAACCCUGACAUGGAUGUGGACAAGAACAGGACCCUGGACCUGGACAUGAACAAACAGUGGCUGUGAGAGGGCUGCUGCCCCAUCCUGACACCCCUGGAGCCCAUGUCCCCCAGCAGCAGGCAGUAAUGAACAGAUGGUGUUUCCAGCUGAGAGAGGAGGACGGCUGGGACUUGCCCAUGGACUACACCAAAAUGAAGUCCUGGAGGAUAGAUGAGGAUGAGUCCAAAAGGAUUGCUGUAUGUCCUUGUCAUUGCCCCCACCUUUGUCCACACAGCAUGUGAAGUUGGCAUCACUGAGGAAAAUGCACUUGGCACACACCUCAGCAGAAUUGUCUUUUCUCUUUGAAUAUGACCUUUAGCUGAUCAGGGCUUAGAGGACUUAAGUUGACCCAGGAGAUAUUUGGAUUGAUUUGAGUGAAACAAACCAUUGACUUUUUUAAAUGAUGGAUUUCAUUUUCUAACAACUGUGUUUUGUAACAAACUAUUUCUCUAAGAAAGUGUAUAAACAGCAUACCAGUUCAUUUUUUUUCUGGGUGACAGAGCGAUAUAAGGCAGAAUUUUCCUUUCAGAUGGAGAAUGGUAAUGAGAGUCUUAAAUAUUUAAAUGGUUAACUAUACGCUGUUAAUUACCUAGCUUUUUGAGGCUAAGGACAGGGUCUCUUCUCUAAGAAAUCUAAAAUAUUCAGAAGAGUAGACUCUAGCCUAGAAUGUCAACUUAGUACUGCCACCUAAAUCUUUGUUGACUAUAAUAUUACCAAAGCACCUAUGUCAAGAACAUAUUUCUAAAGUAGUUACAAUUUUGCAAUUCAGAUUAUUAAAAGUUAUCCUUUAGGCUAAGAAAGAAGUGAAAAAAAAGUUUUUUGUUAGCCUGAGUCAAUUCUGAAAAUUAUGGUAUCCUCUUUAUUCCCUGGAAAAUGAACAUUCUUUUUGAACACAAUAGGGAGACCCUGAUCAAAGCAAGAGCAUCUUACAGAAACUGGCAGGCAGAGAAAAAGGAAACAUUUGCCAUUUGUAGGAACUGGCAGGGAAGUCACCUAUCUAUAAGGCUGGUGCUGCUAAAGCCUAUUAUCUUUGUUCUUCAAAUUGAUUUAAGUAUUCAGGCAUCUUAAAGAAUAAAAUCUGAAUGGCCAUCUAAAAUCCAUAGUAUUUUAUUCUGUCAUACAGUGUUAAGUUGCUACUACCAAAUAACACACAGUCGUUGAAUCUCUGGAUUUAUUUUUAUGUAUUUAUUUGGUCUUUUUGCCAUUUCUUGGGCGGCUCUCGCGGCAUAUGGAGGUUCCCAGGCUAGGGGUCCAAUCGGAGCUGUAGCCGCGGGCCUACACCAGAGCCACAGCAACGCAAGACCUGAGCCGCGUCUGCAACCUACACCACAGCUCACGGCAACGCCGGAUCGUUAACCCACUGAGCAAGGGCUGGGGCCGAACCCGCAACCUCAUGGUUCCUAGUCGGAUUCGUUAACCACUGCGCCACGACGGGAACUCCUGGAUUUAUUUUAAUUAAAAUUAGUCCCGAAUAAACCGACAGGAGUAUUUCCACCACACAAGUGAAAACUGCACUCAUGAAACACCUUUGCUGAACACCGCCACCUAGAGGAAUUUUUAGGUUACUGCACGUUGCUGCAGGGGCCCCUGCUUAAUCAGAGUAGCUCCUUUUUUGUUUGUUUUUAAGAGUAACUCUAAAUUAAGGCAUUAAUCUCAGUUUGUCUUACUUUGCCUCGGGAUUCAAGGCACAUAGGUAGAAUACUUACCAAAGAUUGGGUGCAGCAUUUAGGCUCUGCCACAAGGUGUCAGAUAAAGUGCCCCAGGUGCUGAUCUGGGGUGAGUGAGAUCAACUGAGAAGCAGUCCAGGAUGCCUGACUGCUCCCUUUUGCAUCCUGCCUGCACAGCUGCAGGAAUUUGAAGAAGGAAUCUGGACCUGCCCUUGGGUCAGUUACCAGAUUUGGGGAACCAAAUGAAAGCAGGUGAUGAGAAAUCUGAGAAAUUGAUGCCCUGUGGGGGAGGGCUACUCUUUGAACAAAGUGAACCUUCAGGACCAGGGUCUCUGGGUGUGGAGGGGAAGGUUGGGAGAAGUGACCCUGU
rnacentral:lncRNA from 1 species